ensembl:lincRNA Gm10398 predicted gene 10398
GGAUGCCAUGGGUCCAUCUCUCUGAAACUAAUGGGGCAGUCAAGAGAGGAUGCUGUGGAGGAGGAGGAGUGCUUUCUACAAAGGUGUUGAGGUCUGUGCCUAAGCUACCAUGAUUUGAGGGGUACUGUGUUCUUAUGGUCUUCUCCUGUCUCACACAGCCCAGGGCUCUACCAGUUGACUUUUUGUCCCUUCUUCUUGGCUCUGGGGAAGCCUGCACCCUCUCUCUACUACAACAGGGACCUACUGACUGCUUACUCCAUCCCACCCACAGCUUGGGCUCUAUUCUCAAUAGAGCAUCUCCCAGCCCUAGUCCUGGAGGUGAAAUGGAUACUUCUGGGCUUCUUUCUGCCACUAUAGGGUGGAUUGGGUUCCUGCAAUACAGCUGACCUCCAGAUGG